GACGAACGCUGGCGGCGUGCUUAACACAUGCAAGUCGAACGCUGAAGCUUGGUGCUUGCACUGGGUGGAUGAGUGGCGAACGGGUGAGUAAUAAGUGAGUAACCUGCCCUUGACUCUGGGAUAAGCCUGGGAAACUGGGUCUAAUACUGGAUACGACAUGUCACCGCAUGGUGGUGUGUGGAAAGGGUUUUAUUGGUUUUGGAUGGGCUCACGGCCUAUCAGCUUGUUGGUGGGGUAAUGGCUCACCAAGGCGACGACGGGUAGCCGGCCUGAGAGGGUGACCGGCCACACUGGGCCUGAGACACGGCCCAGACUCCUACGGGAGGCAGCAGUGGGGAAUAUUGCACAAUGGGCGGAAGCCUGAUGCAGCGGCGCCGCGUGAGGGAUGACGGCCUUCGGGUUGUAAACCUCUUUCAGCACGGAAGAAGCGAAAGUGACGGUACGUGCAGAAGAAGCGCCGGCUAACUACGUG
rnacentral:rRNA from 1 species